rnacentral:tRNA from 2 species
GCCUUAGUAGCAUAAAGGUAAUGCACUUGAUUGAAGAUCUCGGUAUUUAAAGUUCGAUUCUUUUCUAAGGCA